UACGUAGGGUGCGAGCGUUAAUCGGAAUUACUGGGCGUAAAGCGUGCGCAGGCGGUGAUGUAAGACAGAUGUGAAAUCCCCGGGCUCAACCUGGGAACUGCAUUUGUGACUGCAUCGCUGGAGUACGGCAGAGGGGGAUGGAAUUCCGCGUGUAGCAGUGAAAUGCGUAGAUAUGCGGAGGAACACCGAUGGCGAAGGCAAUCCCCUGGGCCUGUACUGACGCUCAUGCACGAAAGCGUGGGGAGCAAACAGG
rnacentral:rRNA from 1 species